GAGGGUAUAGCUCAGUGGUAGAGCACGUGCUUAGCAUGCACGAGAUCCUGGGUUCAGUCCUGAGUACCUCCU
rnacentral:tRNA from 1 species